rnacentral:rRNA from 1 species
UACGAGAGGCCCAAACGUUAUUCGGAAUUACUGGGCUUAAAGAGUUCGUAGGCGGCAUUGCAAGUAGGGUGUGAAAGCCCUCGGCUCAACCGAGGAAUUGCGCUCUAAACUGCAGUGCUCGAGGAAGCUAGAGGUGAGCAGAACAGAUGGUGGAGCGGUGAAAUGCGUUGAUAUCAUCUGGAAUACCGGAGGCGAAGGCGGCUCACUGGGGCUUUUCUGACGCUGAGGAACGAAAGUGUGGGGAGCGAACAGG